CCAAACUUGCAAAGAUAAAUUCUAAUGCAGUGCGAGCUCAUUUCUAGGGUUUUGUAUACUUCUCUUCCUGCGUAUCUCUCAAUCGAUCGAGCGUUUCAUUUGAUUCUAAUCGAACAAUUGGAGCUCGCUCUUCGUAAUACUUUUUGGGGGGAAGAUGGAGCUUCGUACUUGCUUGGUGUUUCCUUUUCGUGGUCGAGAAAAUUGAUUUGAAGUAUGGACUUGUGAUUCCGCGUAACACCGUGUUGCAGAAAAGUAGACAUUUGUGUAAGUUGAGGCACAUAUUAGA